rnacentral:tRNA from 1 species
AAGGCUUUAGCUUAAUAAAAGUGUUUGAGUUGCAAUCAGAAGAUAUGAAGUAGUUUUCAUAAGUCUU